UACGUAGGGUGCAAGCGUUAAUCGGAAUUACUGGGCGUAAAGCGUGCGCAGGCGGUUUCGUAAGUCUGUCGUGAAAUCCCCGGGCUUAACCUGGGAAUGGCGAUGGAGACUGCGAGGCUAGAGUUUGGCAGAGGGGGGUAGAAUUCCACGUGUAGCAGUGAAAUGCGUAGAGAUGUGGAGGAACACCGAUGGCGAAGGCAGCCCCCUGGACCUGUACUGACGCUCAUGCACGAAAGCGUGGGGAGCAAACAGG
rnacentral:rRNA from 1 species